rnacentral:rRNA from 1 species
ACAGAGGUCUCAAGCGUUGUUCGGAUUCAUUGGGCGUAAAGGGUGCGUAGGCGGUAAUGUAAGUUGGAUGUGAAAUCCCGGAGCUUAACUCCGGAACUGCAUUCAAUACUGCAAUACUAGAGUACUGGAGAGGAGAUUGGAAUUCACGGUGUAGCAGUGAAAUGCGUAGAUAUCGUGAGGAAGACCAGUGGCGAAGGCGAAUCUCUGGACAGUUACUGACGCUGAGGCACGAAGGCUAGGGGAGCAAACGG